rnacentral:lncRNA from 1 species
CAGGGCGCAAUAUACAACAUCCCAAAUAGGACGUAGGGUGUUACACUACUCUGGUGGCCCAAACCUGUAUAAAUUCAUGUCUUGUAUCCUCACUUUUACCUUCGAGUUCUAGGUCUAAUGAUUCCCUGCCAACCAAUCUACUACCUUAGGAUACGCCUUGGUAGGUUUUCGAGUAUAAAACACCAACAUUUGAUGCGCCAGGUAGAGGUGAUCGUCAAGAUCAUCACGCGGGCUUGAAGGACCUCAUCAUCAAGAUCAAUCUACUCUACAAGACAAGAACACUAUUCUCCC